GGCUAAUGCCGGAUACGCAUGGAACCGCAUGGUUCCGUUGUGAAAGGCGCUGCAAGGCGCCACUAAAAGAUGAGGGUGCGGAACAUUAGUUAGUUGGUGAGGUAAUGGCCCACCAAGACUAUGAUGUUUAGCCGGGUCGAGAGACUGAACGGCCACAUUGGGACUGAGAUACGGCCCAGACUCCUACGGGAGGCAGCAGCC
rnacentral:rRNA from 1 species